GACGAACGCUGGCGGCGUGGAUUAGGCAUGCAAGUCGAACGGUAGGAUACCUUCGGGUAUCUGAGAGUGGCGAACGGGUGAGUAACACGUAGGUAAUCUACCCUCAAGACGGGGACAACCCAGGGAAACUUGGGCUAAUACCGGAUGAUAGUACUCUGACGAGUAUUUAAAAGAUGGCUUCGGCUGUCGUUUGGGGAUGAGCCUGCGCUCUAUUAGUUAGUUGGUGAGGUAACGGCUUACCAAGGCGAUGAUAGAUAGGCGGCCUUAACGGGUGGUCGCCCACACUGGGAUUGAGAUACGGCCCAGACUCCUACGGGUGGCUG
rnacentral:rRNA from 1 species